rnacentral:rRNA from 1 species
UGGGGAAUUUUGGGCAAUGGGGGAAACCCUGACCCAGCAACGCCGCGUGAAGGAUGAAGUAUUUCGGUAUGUAAACUUCGAAAGAAUAGGAAGAAUAAAUGACGGUACUAUUUAUAAGGUCCGGCUAACUACGUGCCAGCAGCCGCGGUAAUACGUAGGGACCAAGCGUUGUUCGGAUUUACUGGGCGUAAAGGGCGCGUAGGCGGCAUGACAAGUCACUUGUGAAAUCUCUGGGCUUAACCCAGAACGGCCAAGUGAUACUGUCGCGCUAGAGUGCAGAAGGGGCAAUCGGAAUUCUUGGUGUAGCGGUGAAAUGCGUAGAUAUCAAGAGGAACACCUGAGGUGAAGACGGGUUGCUGGGCUGACACUGACGCUGAGGCGCGAAAGCCUGGGGAGCAAACGGGAUUAGAUACCCGAGUAGUCCCUGAGCGGGCUGGCAAGGCGCAU